ACGUCAGGACACGUCAGGACACGUCAGGUUACGUCAGGACCUGUCAGGACACGUCAUGUUACAUCAUGACACGUCAGGACACGUCAUGUUACAUCAGGAC